GGGGCUCCUGGGUCCUUAAGCUUUGGAGGAGUGGCAUGCUGGAAGACAGAACUAGCCUGUUCAGUGAAGCGUAUUUUCUUUGGGAUUUGUGAUCUAGAUUUAUGUUUUUGGGUGCACAAAUCCUUCAAAAAUUUGGCAUAAGCAGGGACUUGUUUGAUUGCGUCUAGAAGGGGAAGAUUAAUUUGGACUUGCUUAAACAAUUCCAACAUCUCGUCGAGUCUUCCUCCC
rnacentral:lncRNA from 1 species